AUGGUGGCAAGCUCAUUCGAAAAAAAAGCCAAGUCCUUCCCCAACAAGAACAACUUCACCAAAAAGACUCCUACUCGAGGGUUACUGGUCCAAGAAGAAUACCAUGAGGAUGACGAUGAUGACGAAGAUGGAGAAGCAAUGGCCAUGGCCUCCGUUGCCAUUGCCACAACUCCCCGGGUGUCUCUCUUCGAUUCACCCAACAAGAACAUCACCGCCAAGUGCCUCAUGGCUAAAGCCACUAACAAGGUAACCCCAAACAUCAAAACCACCAUCAUUACUAAUCCCUCCUUGAAGGAUUGCAUUGAUGAAAAUGAGGGUUCUAAUGAAGAGGCAAAUGAAUUUGAGUCUUUUAUGAGUAAACUCAAGGGCAAAUCCAAGAAGCACUUUGUUGCUCUCUUGGAACAAUUUGGUGAAGCCAAUGACAUGAUCGAGGCUCAUGAAGAAAUCAUCUCUAGGAUGGAAGGUCAUAGUCGUGACUAUGCCGAUGAGAUAUUGGAUCUCUCUAACACUCUUGAGGAAGAGCAUGGUCAUCGUUUGGCUCUUAAGGAGUCACACAACAAUGACCAUGCUAAAUUAAAGAAAGAUCUUGAUCAUGCUCUUGUUGUCUCUCGUGUGUUAAACUCCGAGAAGGCUAAACCUAGGGUUGACCUUGCUAGACUCAAAGAGGAGUUUGAUUUACUUGACAAGGCUCACAAGGCUUUGAAGGGUGCUCAUGCUAGCCUCAAGGAGUCUCAUGUUCAACUCCAAGUGAAGCUAACCAAGGAGAAAGCCACCUUUCCUCAUAUGGUCUUAAUUGAUAACGCAAAUGCUACUAACCCGUGUUGUGAGCAUGUGCAUCUUGUGGAGGAAAAUGCCCAGUUGAAAGAGCAACUGAAGAAAGGCAUUGUGACAUGCAUUCAAGGUGAGAAAAACCUCAAUGACCUUUUGAGCAAUCAAAAGUAA
rnacentral:rRNA from 1 species